rnacentral:rRNA from 1 species
ACUGCACGAAGCUGGAAUCGCUAGUAAUCGCGGAUCAGCACGCCGCGGUGAAUACGUUCCCGGCCUUGUACACACCGCCCGUCACACCAUGGAAGUCUGCAAUGCCCGAAGCCGGUGGCCUAACCACUUAUGUGGAAGGAGCCGUCUAAGGCAGGGCAGAUGACUGGGGUGAAGUCGUAACAAGGUAAC